UUAAAAGAGACGCAAUUGGUUACAGGUGUGCAUGGGGUUGGUCGUUAACCCAGGUAGGCUAUAAAUGUAGUUUCGACACAGCGCUCUGAGACUGACUAGCCUACAAGGUGACCUGCGCAGGAGCACGGAAACGCACGUCAGAUAGAAAAUGUCGGACUCAGAGACUGCCGCGCCCGUCCAGGCUGACGCUCCUGUUCCCGCGCCAUGCCAGGUCAUCAAGGAGGAGCUGGACAAGUGCAUCCAGGGGAAGGGGGAGGGCGGCUGCAAGGACCUGCUGGAGGCGUUCCAGGCCUGUCUGAAGACCGCGGCGGAGGCGUCCUGAGAGGAGCACAGCGUUCACAAUGUCCACUGCACUGAGUCUUCCACAGUCCCAGCAUUCCCUUCUACGCACUGCACUGGUCUGAACAUUGCUGACAUCGCUAGGGGAGGCGGUGGGUACCGGCCCCCAUUCUCCCCAAAACCGUUAAAUGGAGUCUUCCAAUCUCUAUAUGGAUGAUUAGAAUAUACCAUGCUGGUGAACCUGUUGGUUUUUAAUGUGGUGUUCUCCACUUUGGGAGAGUCAAACAUUGAAAAUAAAACGUUAUCAAUAUAAAGUACUUUGCAUUAUUUCAUUGUUAAACUCAAAAUUCAGUCUGAAAGAAAAAUUGUUCCUUGAAUGUGAACUGUGAAAUAAAGUUUGACUACCUCUGGGUUUAA